rnacentral:rRNA from 1 species
GACGAACGCUGGCGGCGUGCUUAACACAUGCCAGUCGAACGGAAAGGCCCUGCUUUUGUGGGGUGCUCGAGUGGCGAACGGGUGAGUAACACGUGAGUAACCUGCCCUUGACUUUGGGAUAACUUCAGGAAACUGGGGCUAAUACCGGAUAGGAGCUCCUGCUGCAUGGUGGGGGUUGGAAAGUUUCGGCGGUUGGGGAUGGACUCGCGGCUUAUCAGCUUGUUGGUGGGGUUGUGGCUUACCAAGGCUUUGACGGGUAGCCGGCCUGAGAGGGUGACCGGCCACAUUGGGACUGAGAUACGGCCCAGACUCCUACGGGAGGCAGCAGUGGGGAAUAUUGCACAAUGGGCGGAAGCCUGAUGCAGCAACGCCGCGUGCGGGAUGACGGCCUUCGGGUUGUAAACCGCUUUCGCCUGUGACGAAGCGUGAGUGACGGUAAUGGGUAAAGAAGCACCGGCUAACUACGUG